rnacentral:rRNA from 1 species
CAGAGGUGGCAAGCGUUGUUCGGAUUCAUUGGGCGUAAAGGGUUCGUAGGCGGACCGGAAAGUCAGAUGUGAAAUCCCACAGCUCAACUGUGGAACUGCAUUUGAAACUUCCGGACUAGAGUGUGAGAGGGGUAAAGGGAAUUCCCGGUGUAAGGGUGAAAUCUGCAGAGAUCGGGAGGAACACCAGUCGCGAAGGCGCUUUACUGGCUCACUACUGACGCUCAGGAACGAAAGCUAGGGUAGCAAACGGGAUUAGAUACCCCGGUAGUCCUAGCCGUAAACUAUGGUCACUAGGUGUUGGAGGGUUAAACCUUUCAGUGCCGUCGCUCACGCAUUAAGUGACCCGCCUGGGGAGUACGGUCGCAAGGCUG